AGUGAACGCUGGCGGUAGGCCUAACACAUGCAAGUCGAACGGCAGCACAGGAGAGCUUGCUCUCUGGGUGGCGAGUGGCGGACGGGUGAGGAAUACAUCGGAAUCUACCUUUUCGUGGGGGAUAACGUAGGGAAACUUACGCUAAUACCGCAUACGACCUACGGGUGAAAGUGGGGGACCGCAAGGCCUCACGCGAUUGGAUGAGCCGAUGUCCGAGUAGCGAGUUGGCGGGGUAAUGGCCCACCAAGGCGACGAUCGGUAGCUGGUAUGAGGGGAUGAUCAGCCACACUGGUACUGAGACCCGGUCCAGCCUCCUACGGGAUGCAGCAGUGGGGAAUAUUGGACAAUGGGCGCAAGCCUGAUCCAGCCAUACCGCGUGCGUGAAGAAGGCCUUCGGGUUGUAAAGCCCUUUUGUUGGGAAAGAAAUCCUGUCGAUUAAUACUCGGUGUGUAUGACGGUACCCAAAGAAUAAGCACCGACUAACUUCGUGCCAGCCGCCGCCGUAAAAC
rnacentral:rRNA from 1 species